rnacentral:rRNA from 1 species
UUAAGCGACUAAGCGUACACGGUGGAUGCCCUGGCAGUCAGAGGCGAUGAAGGACGUGCUAAUCUGCGAAAAGCGUCGGUAAGGUGAUAUGAACCGUUACAGCCGGCGAUGUCCGAAUGGGGAAACCCAGUGCAAUUCGUUGCACUAUCGUUUGAUGAAUACAUAGUCAAACGAGGCGAACCGGGGGAACUGAAACAUCUAAGUACCCCGAGGAAAAGAAAUCAACCGAGAUUCCCCCAGUAGCGGCGAGCGAACGGGGAGCAGCCCGGAGUCUGAAUCAGCUUGUGUGUUAGUGGAAGCGUCUGGAAAGUCGCAGGGUACAGGGUGAUACUCCCGUACACUAAAACACACAGGCUGUGAACUCGAAGAGUAGGGCGGGACACGUGGUAUCCUGUCUGAAUAUGGGGGGACCAUCCUCCAAGGCUAAAUACUCCUGACUGACCGAUAGUGAACCAGUACCGUGAGGGAAAGGCGAAAAGAACCCCGGCGAGGGGAGUGAAAAAGAACCUGAAACCGUGUACGUACAAGCAGUAGGAGCCCACUUGUUGGGUGACUGCGUACCUUUUGUAUAAUGGGUCAGCGACUUAUAUUCUGUAGCAAGGUUAACCGUAUAGGGGAGCCGCAGGGAAACCGAGUCUUAACUGGGCGUUAAGUUGCAGGGUAUAGACCCGAAACCCGGUGAUCUAGCCAUGGGCAGGUUGAAGGUUGGGUAACACUAACUGGAGGACCGAACCGACUAAUGUUGAAAAAUUAGCGGAUGACUUGUGGCUGGGGGUGAAAGGCCAAUCAAACCGGGAGAUAGCUGGUUCUCCCCGAAAGCUAUUUAGGUAGCGCCUCGUGAACUCAUCUUCGGGGGUAGAGCACUGUUUCGGCUAGGGGGUCAUCCCGACUUACCAACCCGAUGCAAACUACGAAUACCGAAGAAUGUUAUCACGGGAGACACACGGCGGGUGCUAACGUCCGUCGUGAAGAGGGAAACAACCCAGACCGCCAGCUAAGGUCCCAAAGUCAUGGUUAAGUGGGAAACGAUGUGGGAAGGCCCAGACAGCCAGGAUGUUGGCUUAGAAGCAGCCAUCAUUUAAAGAAAGCGUAAUAGCUCACUGGUCGAGUCGGCCUGCGCGGAAGAUGUAACGGGGCUAAACCAUGCACCGAAGCUGCGGCAGCGACACUAUGUGUUGUUGGGUAGGGGAGCGUUCUGUAAGCCGUUGAAGGUGGCCUGUGAGGGUUGCUGGAGGUAUCAGAAGUGCGAAUGCUGACAUAAGUAACGAUAAUGCGGGUGAAAAACCCGCACGCCGGAAGACCAAGGGUUCCUGUCCAACGUUAAUCGGGGCAGGGUGAGUCGACCCCUAAGGCGAGGCCGAAAGGCGUAGUCGAUGGGAAACAGGUUAAUAUUCCUGUACUUGGUGUUACUGCGAAGGGGGGACGGAGAAGGCUAUGUUGGCCGGGCGACGGUUGUCCCGGUUUAAGCGUGUAGGUGUGUGUUCCAGGUAAAUCCGGUUCACUUUAACACUGAGGCGUGAUGACGAGGCACUACGGUGCUGAAGUGACAAAUGCCCUGCUUCCAGGAAAAGCCUCUAAGCAUCAGGUAACAUCAAAUCGUACCCCAAACCGACACAGGUGGUCAGGUAGAGAAUACCAAGGCGCUUGAGAGAACUCGGGUGAAGGAACUAGGCAAAAUGGUGCCGUAACUUCGGGAGAAGGCACGCUGAUAUGUAGGUGAAGUGGUUUACCCAUGGAGCUGAAAUCAGUCGAAGAUACCAGCUGGCUGCAACUGUUUAUUAAAAACACAGCACUGUGCAAACACGAAAGUGGACGUAUACGGUGUGACGCCUGCCCGGUGCCGGAAGGUUAAUUGAUGGGGUUAUCCGUAAGGAGAAGCUCUUGAUCGAAGCCCCGGUAAACGGCGGCCGUAACUAUAACGGUCCUAAGGUAGCGAAAUUCCUUGUCGGGUAAGUUCCGACCUGCACGAAUGGCGUAAUGAUGGCCAGGCUGUCUCCACCCGAGACUCAGUGAAAUUGAACUCGCUGUGAAGAUGCAGUGUACCCGCGGCAAGACGGAAAGACCCCGUGAACCUUUACUAUAGCUUGACACUGAACACUGGUCCUUGAUGUGUAGGAUAGGUGGGAGGCUUUGAAGUGUGGACGCCAGUCUGCAUGGAGCCAUCCUUGAAAUACCACCCUUUAAUGGCUGGUGUUCUAACGUGGGCCCGUAAUCCGGGUUGCGGACAGUGUCUGGUGGGUAGUUUGACUGGGGCGGUCUCCUCCUAAAGAGUAACGGAGGAGCACGAAGGUCAGCUAAUCCUGGUCGGACAUCAGGAGGUUAGUGCAAUGGCAUAAGCUGGCUUGACUGCGAGCGUGACGGCGCGAGCAGGUGCGAAAGCAGGUCAUAGUGAUCCGGUGGUUCUGAAUGGAAGGGCCAUCGCUCAACGGAUAAAAGGUACUCCGGGGAUAACAGGCUGAUACCGCCCAAGAGUUCAUAUCGACGGCGGUGUUUGGCACCUCGAUGUCGGCUCAUCACAUCCUGGGGCUGAAGUAGGUCCCAAGGGUAUGGCUGUUCGCCAUUUAAAGUGGUACGCGAGCUGGGUUUAGAACGUCGUGAGACAGUUCGGUCCCUAUCUGCCGUGGGCGCUGGAGAAUUGAGGGGGGCUGCUCCUAGUACGAGAGGACCGGAGUGGACGCAUCACUGGUGUUCGGGUUGUCAUGCCAAUGGCAUUGCCCGGUAGCUAAAUGCGGAAGAGAUAAGUGCUGAAAGCAUCUAAGUACGAAACUUGCCCCGAGAUGAGUUCUCCCUGACCCUUUAAGGGUCCUGAAGGAACGUUGAAGACGACGACGUUGAUAGGCCGGGUGUGUAAGCGCAGCGAUGCGUUGAGCUAACCGGUACUAAUGAACCGUGAGGCUUAACCU